rnacentral:rRNA from 1 species
GUGCCAGCCGCCGCGGUAAUACGGAGGAUGCGAGCGUUAUCCGGAUUUAUUGGGUUUAAAGGGUGCGUAGGCGGGAUGUUAAGUCAGCGGUGAAAGUUUGCGGCUCAACUGUAAAAUUGCCGUUGAAACUGGCGUUCUUGAGUGUAAACGAGGUAGGCGGAAUGUGACGUGUAGCGGUGAAAUGCUUAGAUAUGUCACAGAACCCCGAUUGCGAAGGCAGCUUACCAGCAUACAACUGACGCUGAGGCACGAAAGCGUGGGUAUCAAACAGGAUUAGAUACCCUGGUAGUCCACGCAGUAAACGAUGAAUACUAGCUGUUGGCGAUAAACAGUCAGCGGUACAGCGAAAGUGUUAAGUAUUCCACCUGGGGAGUACGCCGGCAACGGUGAAACUCAAAUGAAUUGACGG